AAAUACCUCUUCCCGUACGAUCACCGGAGUUAAGCAAUGUCGAGCCUGAUCAGUACCUAGAUGGGUGACCACUUGGCAAUACGAGAUGC